UUAAUAAUAUUAACAAUAAUUUUAGAUUAUAUAAAGCCUAAUUUCAUCAUAAACUUGUAAUUACAAAGAGAGAGAUGACUAAACACCGUGUGCUUUAUGUACUAAUAAUAUUGAUAAUUGGAACAAUUAUUUAUUAUGUUAAUGUUGAAUUUGACGGCUUUAUUCGUGAUGAUGAAAAAAGGUGGAUUCCAAGAGUUGAUGAUGCCUACGAUCUUGACUCGUGUUGCAGAAAAUGCAACGAAGCCUAUAGCACAUUAUCGAGAAAAUUAAGACAAAGACGGCAUAGAUGCAGAAAUACUUGCAAAACCCUAAAUUGGUGUAUAGAAUGGUGCAGAGAGCGAUGUCGUGGGGAUGAAGAUGCGUAUAAGAAAUGCAUAGAAGCAUGGAUAAGCAAGAUACAAAG
rnacentral:lncRNA from 1 species